rnacentral:rRNA from 1 species
GUACACUCCUGCGGGAGGCAGCAGUGGGGAAUCUUGCGCAAUGGGCGAAAGCCUGACGCAGCCAUGCCGCGUGAAUGAUGAAGGUCUUAGGAUUGUAAAAUUCUUUCACCGGGGACGAUAAUGACGGUACCCGGAGAAGAAGCCCCGGCUAACUUCGUGCCAGCAGCCGCGGUAAUACGAAGGGGGCUAGCGUUGCUCGGAAUUACUGGGCGUAAAGGGAGCGUAGGCGGACAUUUAAGUCAGGGGUGAAAUCCCGGGGCUCAACCUCGGAAUUGCCUUUGAUACUGGGUGUCUUGAGUAUGAGAGAGGUGUGUGGAACUCCGAGUGUAGAGGUGAAAUUCGUAGAUAUUCGGAAGAACACCAGUGGCGAAGGCGACACACUGGCUCAUUACUGACGCUGAGGCUCGAAAGCGUGGGGAGCAAACAGGAUUAGAAACCCCUGUAGUCCCAU